rnacentral:sRNA from 1 species
UCCGCACCAACCAGCACCAUGCCCAUGACACUGGGGUACUGGGACAUCCGCGGGCUGGCCCACGCCAUCCGCCUGCUCCUGGAAUACACAGACUCAAGCUAUGAGGAAAAGAAGUACUCGAUGGGGGACGGUAAUGGCACCCUCGUGUUCGGGCUCUGCCCACUCACGCUAAGUUGGCACCAAGCAACCCAUGGUGGCCACCUGUGGCUGCCUCUGCAGGCCUCCCCUGCUGGAGCUGCAGGCUGUCUCUUCCCUGAGCCCCGGUGAGGGAGCCCUCUGGCCUUGCAAGGCAGAAUGCUGGGGCGGGAUGCUGGGCCCCCGUCUAAUUAUGAUGGGUGUCCCUCAGGGCUUGCCUAAACCCUGGAAGCCUUAGCCGUGUGGGGUCCAGAGCCCUCAGCGGGAUUCUUUGUCCCUGAACCCUGGGAUGUGGGACUGAGUGGUCAGAUUCUAGAUCCACCUGUCUCAGGGAUCUUGCCACUGGCUCCUUGGGAGGGUCCCCGGGAAGGAGGGCUGGGCUCUGGGGAGGUUUGUUUUCACUUCUUCUUCCCCACCACAGCUCCUGACUAUGACAGAAGCCAGUGGCUGAAUGAAAAAUUCAAGCUGGGCCUGGACUUUCCCAAUGUAGGUGCAGGGGAAGGGGCGGUUUUGGGGGAAAGUGCGACCUGUCUCUGACUGCAUCUCCUCUCCCCAGCUUAGAGGUGUUAAGAUCAGGAGUCUUCUGCCCAAUUCCUCUCACUCCUGGCUGUCUAAACAGUCCUUCCAUGAUGUUCUGUGUCCAACCGCAUUCGUUCAUGUGACAGUAUUCUUAUUUCAGUCCUGCCAUGAGCAGGCACAGUGAGUGCCCAGUCUCCUCUCUACUCUUGCUUAUGG